rnacentral:rRNA from 1 species
GGACUACAAGGGUUUCUAAUCCUGUUUGCUCCCCACGCUUUCGCGUCUCAGCGUCAAUGUCCGUCCAGAUCGCCGCCUUCGCCACUGGUGUUCCACCCGAUAUCUACGAAUUUCACCUCUACACCGGGUAUUCCGCGAUCCUCUCCGGCAUUCAAGCAGGGUAGUUUCCCGCGCACUUCGUCAGUUGAGCCGACGGAUUUCACACGGGACUUACCCAGCCGCCUACACGCGCUUUACGCCCAAUAAUUCCGAACAACGCUUGCACCCUCUGUAUUACCGCGGCUGCUGGCAC